UACAGAGACGUCGAGCGUUGUUCGGAUUCAUUGGGCGUAAAGGGUGCGUAGGCGGUGAGGUAAGUCGGAUGUGAAAUCCCAAAGCUUAACUUUGGAAGUGCAUCCGAAACUACCUUGCUCGAGGACUGGAAGGGAGACUGGAAUUCUCGGUGUAGCGGUGAAAUGCGUAGAUAUCGAGAGGAACACCGGUGGCGAAGGCGGGUCUCUGGACAGUUCCUGACGCUGAGGCACGAAAGCCAGGGGAGCAAACGGG
rnacentral:rRNA from 1 species